GACGAACGCUGGCGGCGUGCUUAACACAUGCAAGUCGAACGGAAAGGCCCUGCUUUUGUGGGGUGCUCGAGUGGCGAACGGGUGAGUAACACGUGAGUAACCUGCCCUUGACUUUGGGAUAACUUCAGGAAACUGGGGCUAAUACCGGAUAGGAGCUCCUGCUGCAUGGUGGGGGUUGGAAAGUUUCGGCGGUUGGGGAUGGACUCGCGGCUUAUCAGCUUGUUGGUGGGGUAGUGGCUUACCAAGGCUUUGACGGGUAGCCGGCCUGAGAGGGUGACCGGCCACAUGGGGACUGGGUAACGGCCCAGACUCCAACGGAGGCAGCAGUGGGGAAUAUUGCACAAUGGGCGGAAGCCUGAUGCAGCAACGCCGCGUGCGGGAUGACGGCCUUCGGGUUGUAAACCGCUUUCGCCUGUGACGAAGCGUGAGUGACGGUAAUGGGUAAAGAAGCACCGGCUAACUACGUG
rnacentral:rRNA from 1 species